rnacentral:lncRNA from 1 species
GAAAGCUCGGUCUUAGCGCCAUCUUCUUUGAGACUCCUGCGCCAUGAGAGCGAAGGGCGGAAGAAGAGAAUGCGCAGGCUGAAGCGCAAGAGAAGAAAGAUGAGGCAGAGGUCCAAGUAAACCAUUUUGUGCACCCACGAAGCCUGCGGGAGCAGAAGUAAGGGAUGCUGGAGCCCGGAACGCCGGAACAAGUAGUUGGACUGUAUGCUGCUGUCGGUAAUAAGUCUCAGUAGACCUGGAAUGUCACCUCGCCGAGGUCAGCUGGGAAAAUGACUACCUUCCUCACAACCAAAACAGUCCCGCUGGCCCUCUGCCCUGGACCUUUGGCAUUCUGGACUAGUUCUGUUCUCUCUUGUGGCCAAGUGUAACUCGUGUACAAUAAACCCUCUUGCUGUCAGCUGAAGAAUCAAAAAAAAAAAAAAAAUAGAGAAGAAAACUAAGU